ACUACUACAAAGGCUACUACUACUACAAAGGCUACUACUACCAACUUUCCGGAUGACCUUGGAUCCUCCAACCGUCUGACCCCUGGCUUGGCAAAAGGAUUAAUCGGCCUGCUCGCAAUCACCACGGUUCUGUUCUCGUCUUCACUGUGGCAGUAGCCCAUGCCACCCAGGAAGCAACCACUGCAAAGCCUCAACCCAAGAUCGCGAUGGACGUACAUGAUACACAGAUGUCACGUGUAUUGAAAUGAUUGAGCAGUAAUUGCACACAUUUUAAGCAUUACAAACAUAGCUUCUUAUUCAAUACAUUAACCUUCACGUAGGGAGGUAAAUUGAUUUUCUGAUCUUAAGGACGGAUGUACAGUCAGUCAUUAGUUUGUGGAAGCUUCGCUCCAGAUCCUCGCUUCGAGCUGAAUUUAUCAAAUGGACUCAUUGAAGUUGAAAAGUAAUUUUGCUUUUAAAUCUUGAGAUUUUCAGUUCAGAAUUUUUUAAAUGAAAUCCAUAUUAAAUAUUUAAUGCAUCUUAAUCUUAGUUUAACACAUACCAUUUCAAAACUCCAUAUUAUUCAAGUGCUGUUUUCUGGGGUUUGCUUCGUGUUGAGAAUUUCCCCUCUCAAGCUUUCGUCACACACAGCUGCGGGUAACUUGAGCAGUUUAAAUUAUGUUUUGUUUUCAACUGAAAUGUUCAACACGCAGACGAACCCAGGAAUCCGCGUUUGGAUAUCUUAACGUUGCUUCAUUGCAGGAGAUAACUAACAGAUGAUGUUCGCAGUAAUUAACAAGAUCUGUAUUUAAUAGUUAACGACCAACUCGCACGUCCUUUGGAUGCGACCGUCUGCUCGUCGCUCCCAGCCAGCCAGCAAAACGUUUACUCUUAUAUCGAGCCCUUUCUCUCCACCUUUCUUGUGCCUUCUCUGCAAUGUAUAUCGCAAUUUAUCUCAAUUUCUGACUUUGCCUUUGUUUAUUUCUCUGUCUCCCCUUCUGCCCUCUCCCUCCCUCUGCAUUGCUCUCUUUCCUAACACUGUAUCCCGCACCACUUCCCACCUAUCCCUGAUUUUCGCACCCCUCAUCCUCACUUUCUUUGUUCCCACCUCUCCCUUACCCGUCUCGUCCUCUCUUGCCUCUCCUUGAUCCUCCCACCUACUGAUGAGCGCUUUCCGUCGCUCUCCUCUGUCCGUUUUUCCCUUUGCACUCCGCACUCUUCCUCUCCAAUGCACGCCCUUUCACUCUCUGCUAACUCUCUCAGUUGCUCCCCGGUUCUUUCUUUCUCCCUCCCUCCCUCUGCCUUCCUAAUUUCCCUCCACUCUCUGCUUCGUCGCAUUUGCACAGGAAAGCCACCGGAAUGAAAACUCAUUUCUUUAGAACUGCUUUUUUUGUAUUUUUCGAUUUAAAGCUUUCGUGACUGCAAGG